UGGGGGAUAUUGCACAAUGGGCGAAAGCCUGAUGCAGCGACGCCGCGUGGGGGAUGAAGGCUUUCGGGUUGUAAACCUCUUUCGCUAUCGAACAAGGCCCGCUUAGGGUGGGUUGAGGGUAGGUGGAGAAGCAGCGCCGGCUAACUACGUGCCAGCAGCGGCGGUAAUACGUAGGGCGCGAGCGUUGUCCGGAAUUAUUGGGCGUAAAGGGCUUGUAGGCGGCUUGUUGCGCCUGCUGUGAAAACGCGGGGCUUAACUUCGCGCGUGCAGUGGGUACGGGCAGGCUUGAGUGUGGUAGGGGUGACUGGAAUUCCAGGUGUAGCGGUGGAAUGCGCAGAUAUCUGGAGGAACACCGAUGGCGAAGGCAGGUCACUGGGCCAUUACUGACGCUGAGGAGCGAAAGCAUGGGUAGCGAACAGG
rnacentral:rRNA from 1 species